GAGAUUGGCUUGAACUGAGUCUAAGUCGUAAUUGUCCAUACUUGGACUACGGGAAAACAGGAAUGGAGACUUUGACAAAAUCAGAGUAUUGAUUAAGGUAAAGCUGGAGCCUACGUGGUCUAAGACAGAAAGAACUGUGCUUGUGGCAAAUAUAUUAAUCAUCCAUGAAAUGUUUUUGUAGUAUCUAUGGUUUGAUAAGUACCUAAAGUGCUUGAAUCAUAAGGAAGAAAACCAUAUCUUGGUUCCCUGGAAUCUGUAAUCACAAGUAGUAAUUAAUAUGAUCAUAUUUUCCAUAUUUAAUGGAGAUAAUAAAUUGGAUGAGGGGAAGUGAAGAUCUCUCUUAAUAUGGGUUCUUAUCAGGUAGCUAGAGAUGCAAUAAAAUUAAGAAAAUAUGAGCUGAGAAAUAAAACCACAUUUUUAGGAUGGAGAAUAGCUGUUCUUUAUCUCCUUCAGAAAAAGUAUACUAAGCCUACUAAGCUUAAUCAAUUCUGUAAGUGAAUAUGGUGACAGGUAAGUCUGCAAUAAACAUAACCUCAUGCCUGAUGAAAUAGGGUUAUCAACAUUUCAGAUCCUUUCUCCAGAGUCCACCUUUGACCAGUGAAUACUUCAUCUGGCAAGGAAAGGCUAGUCUGAGUUCCACCGAUGUGUCCUUCCCCUAAUGGUCAUAGCAGGCUCAAUUACUAACGAGUUCCUCCA